UGCCAUAACAUAUUGAAACACUACUUCCUGUAUGAUCACUGAAGUUAAGCAACAUGGAGCCUGGUCAGUACUUAGAUGGGUAACUGCUUGGAAAUACCAGGUGUUGUAAG